AUGGACCGGAAACUAGCAUGGUUGGUAAUAAGAGCUUGGGUGGAAAAAAAACUGUCCCUGGAGGACACUCCAGCUUUGUUUCUGCGUGCUGAAGCGCUCCAGCCUCUGCUGGAUGCCUGCCUUCCUGUUGUCAUUUGGGACAGGUGGACAGAGGAAGUAGCAACCCCCGGCAGCCCACUGAAAGUCAGGCCUGAGCAAGGCUGUGCUCUCCACAGGGAGGAGAGGGCUGCACUCUCGUUCUCCACCCCCGGCCAUCCCCAAAGAGGAGGAAGUUCAUCACAUACAUAUAUAGAGCCAGGCACGCCAGCUCCUGACACAUGCAUCAUGACCACGAGAUGGAACUGGACACCAGACACCAGCCCUUUGUGGGUCCUGUUUCUGUGUGCCCACAUCAUCUCCCACGUGGCCAGAGCCACGCCUGCACUUCAGGCCGUCACAGCUGCCACAGCCUCAGCUGGGAUCACGAAAGACCCUUCUUCCUCCCGACCCCCAACUCUCACAACAGCUAAGCGCUGCUCAGCAUUGGAGGUGACCUGGCCAGAAAUGGAAGUCUCACUAAAUGGAACGCUGACUUUGUCCUGUACCGCCUACAGCUGCUUCCACCACUUCAGCAUCCUUUACUGGCUGGGCAAUGGUUCCUUCAUUGAGCAUCUCCCAGGCCGGCUGCGGGAGGGCAGUACCAGCUGGGAGCACAGGGGCACAAGGACCCAGCUGUGGAAGACCUUGGUGCUGGAGGAGCUGAGCCCCGCCUUGCGCAGCACCAACUUCUCUUGUGUUUUUACCGAUCCCGAGCACACUGUUCAGCGUCACGUCAUCCUGGGCCAUCUCCUGGCUGGGCUGAGGAGAGUUGUCCCCCCCACUGAAGAAGCCCUCCAGAGGGUGCCCUCUGCUUCACCAUCCUAACAGGUGAACUCUAAAGCCUGGUUGAAAUGCCACCUCAUCAUUUAGGUCUAGGUUGUCUCAGCUCAGGCCACAUCCUGAAGCAGCUUAGUUAUAUGUUAUACUUGUAGAGGCAUACCUCGUUUUACUGUGCUUCCUGAGUAUUGCACUUUUUACAAAUUGAAGGUUUAUAAAAACCUUCCUGUUGAGGAAGUCUAUUAGCACCAUUUUUCCAACAGCAUUUGCUCACUUCAUGUCACAUUUUGGUAAUUCUUGCAAUAUUUCAAACUUUUUAAUCAUUAUGUUUGUUAUGAUGAUCUGUGAUCCGUGAUCUUUGAUGUUGCUAUUGAAAUUGUUUUCAGGUGCCAUAAACCACAGUAUCAAAAUGGCCUUAAUUGAUAAAUGUGUGUUUUCUGACUGCCCUACCGACUGGCUGUUCCCCAUCUCUCCCCGUCCUUGGGCCUCCCUAUUCCCCCAGACAGACAUACAGCGUUGAAAUCAGGCCAGUCAUUAACUCUACAGUGGCCUGUAAGUGUUCUAGUGAAAGGAAGAGUCGCUUGUCUCUCACUUUAAAUCAAAAGCUAGAAAUGAUUCAGCUUAGUGAGGAAGGCAUGUUGAACGCUGAGACAGGCUACAAGCUAGGCCUCUUGAACCAACAGCCAAGUUGUAAAUGCAAAGGAAAAGUUGUUGAAGGAAAUUAAAAAUUCUACUCCAGUGAACACAUUAGUAGUAAGAAAAGAGCCUUAUUGCUGAUAAGGAAAGUUUUAAUGGUCUGGAUAGAUGAAACCAGCUACAACAUUCCUUUAAUCCAGAGUAAGGACAUAAUCAUAAUGCUCUUCAAUUCUGUGAAGGCUGAGCGAGGUGAGGAGGCUGCAAAAGAAAGGUCGGAAACCAGCAAGGAAAGCUGUCUCCAUAACAUGAAGCAGCAAGUGCCGAUACAGAAGCUGCAGCAAACUAACCACUAAACAGAUUUUCAGUGUAGUCGAAACAGCAUUCCUGUGAAAGAUGCCAUCUAGGACUUUCAUAGCUGGAGAUGAGAAGUCAGUGCCUGGCGUCAAAGGGUCUGAUACAGCUGCUGACUUUGAGUUGAAGCAUGUUCAUUUACUGUUAGUCCUAAGGCCCUUAAGAAUUAUGCUAAAUAAUUCUCCUGUGCUCUGUUCUCUGCCAAUGGAACAUGGAAGCCUGCAUGACAGCACAUCUGUUAAUAUGGUUUACUGAAUAGUUUUAGCCCAUGGUUGGAACCUACUGCUCAGACAAAAGACUCCUUUCAAAAUAUCACUGCUCAUUGACAAGUAUCUGGUCACCCAAGUGCUCUAGUGGAGAUGUAUGAAAUUAAUGUUUUCAUGCCUGUUAACACAUGCUUUGCAAUCCAUGGAUCAAUGAGUAAUUUCAACUUUCAAGUUUUUGCCAUAGUGAUUCCUCUGAUGGAUCUGGGCAAAGUAAAUUAAAAACCUUCUGGAAAGGAUUCACCAAGGUUUGAGAGGAUUGACUCCAGUUUUGAAAUACGUUCUAGUGUGGGUAGAAUGCUGUCAAACAGCACUGCAUACUACAGAGAAAUCAUCUGUGGAACAGUCAACGCUGGAGACUUCAUUUUCUCAUUUUAAGAAACUGUCACAGCCACCCGAACCUUUCAGCAACUGCCACCUGUAUCUGUCAGGAGCCAACAUCAAGGCAAAACCUUCCACCAGCAAAACCACUGCAAACCACUGAAAGCUCAGAUGGUAGAUAGCACUUUUUAAUUAAUGUGCAUUGUUUCUUAGAAAUGCUAUUGCACACUUAAUAGACUAUAGUAUGAUAUAAAUAUAAUUUUUAUAUGUACCUGCAAACCAAAAAAAAUCAUGUAACUUGCUUUAUUGUGAUGCUCACUUGUUGCAGUGAUCUGGAACCGAACCUACAAUCUAAGUGACGCCAGUAUUUUUUUUUCCUCUAAUAAACUGUCCAGGGAUAUGGGCAGAGGCUGCUUCUGGUCCACAACUGUAUCUCUGUCAUAUCCUGCAGGGACAAGGGGCAUUCAUGAGUGACUUUUCCAUGGAGGCAUGCCAACAUCUUAGAAAAUUUAGGCCAUUUUUCCUACUCACAGAACUUGGCCUGUUCUAGUAGGGACUAUGGGAAGGAGCUAAAGAUAAAACCAUAUUCAAGGGACAGACGCCCUCAGAAAAGAACGGCCCAUAAUACUCCAUGAGCAGAGGUCAGCCAUGGAGUAUGAGAAGAUCCUCUGGCCCUAGAAAGGCCAGAAGGGACUUGAAAGAAGGCGGGUUCUGGAAGGCCCAGCAGGAACAAAGACUGACAGCAACAUCUGAGAGAAGCACCAGAGUGGUGACAGAAACAAGGACUUGAGCCAGACUGCCCAGCUUGAAGCCCAGCUCUGCCACUGUGGGUCCUUGAUCAACUGACUGCCCUUUAUGCCCAUUUCAUCUAAGUCAAUUGCUGUUUUUUUCAAGAGCCUAUAACAGUGUCUGAUAUGUAAAAAUAUUAAAUAAAAAUGUUUCCAGUCUCAGCUUCUGCACUGAUUAUAAGGCUAAGCUAACAUGCAAAUCUCAUGUACUCAAUUUCAAACCCUUCCGAGGCCCCUCAAAGCACCGGCCUCCAUCAGUGGGCAGUCCGGCUGGCUCUGCCAACUUUACUUCCCAGCCCAAAGAGGCUCUUUCUUGGCCUUGGCUCUCACUGCUCUCUUCUGUCCACUGG